CUCCCGUAGCAGCAACAGGGCCGAGCAUUCUGCGCAGCCUGAGACCUGAACUGUGGCACGGACACUCGUGCUUUCAGUCUCUGCAUGCCUUUUAGCAGCAGCUCGCUGCUGUGUGGUGACCGUGGUUGCACCUCGGUGUGCCCGGAGAGCAACGACCUGUUCAGUGCUAAGUGCUAACCGCCCUCCUACAUGGCAAGGUGCCCCGCCUUGCCUGCUCGCUGAGUCGCUCGGGGUUUGCCCUGAAAAUCACUCUCUUCACAGCGAGACAACAACCCGACUCCCUGUGUAGUCGCGCGAAUGGGUACCUUACCGUAUCACCUCGCCCGAACGGCCCCGCGGUUCACACGCCCUGACUCCGCCUCUCCUCCUCGGGGCAGGGACAGCUGGGAAGCAGCGAACCUCUGUGACAGAGCAGUCGGCAAUCAAACCUUGGCCAUCAUGAGCUCAUUGCUGCCCUGACCCUUUCCCUGCCCUUGCUACCUCAGCAAUGUUGAGUCUGGUGCUUUCUGGGGGGCUGACUGUUGCACAAAGUAAUAGAGGUGAAUGCUGGGCUCGCCAAAAGGGCUCCAAGAGGAGUGAUCUUCAGAGAGCGAUCCUUCCUCCGUGGCAGUCAGCCCUUAAAUGGAGUUUAGGAGAGGUGGAGCCUGGCUCCACCCCUUCCGGUCACACAGGUGGAGUUGCAGUUCAACAGGUCUCAUACAGGGCCCCAGGCCUGGGUGCAGUACUCCAGAUGGGGCCUCACAAGAGCUGAGUAGAGGGGGACAACCACCUCCCUCUCCCUGCUGGCCACCUCUUUCUUAACGCAGCCCAGAACACACUUGGCCUUCCGGGCUGCCAGCACACACUGCUGGCUCACGUCCAGCUUCUAAAAUCACACAACGCUGGAAUGGUUUGUGUUGCAUGGCUCCCUGAAGAUCACAGAACCACUGGAUUUUUGUACGCUGGAAGUGUCCUUGAAGAUCACAGAACAAUAGGAUGGCUUGUGUUGAAAACGUCCCUGAAGAUCACAGCACAGUAGACUAUCCUUGGUACACUAUCAUUGGUAGAGGGCCUCGAGGAUUUGGCAGUACCUGAGAGGCAUCCCAACCCAGAGGAGAUGCUGGUCAUAACCUCCACCACCUCUCUGGGCAACCCAUCCCAGAGCUCCCCCACCCUUACCGUAAAGGUCUUCCACAUGUUUGCAUGGAACUUCCUGUGCUCAAGUUCUAGGCCACUGCUCAUUGUCCUCCGCUACGCACCACCGAGAAGAGCCUGGCCUCAUCCAUUUUCCUCCCACUUCCCUUCAGAUAUUGAUUAACACUCGCUUUGAAUCUCUAGUUAUAGGGUCUGAGACGAUGGAGAUCUGCCGGCUACUUUUCCA
ensembl:lncRNA